rnacentral:rRNA from 1 species
UACGAAGGGUGCAAGCGUUAAUCGGAAUUACUGGGCGUAAAGGGUGCGUAGGCGGUUCGUUAAGUCUGUCGUGAAAUCCCCGGGUUCAACCUGGGAAUGGCGAUGGAUACUGGCGAGCUAGAGUGUGUCAGAGGAUGGUGGAAUUCCCGGUGUAGCGGUGAAAUGCGUAGAGAUCGGGAGGAACAUCAGUGGCGAAGGCGGCCAUCUGGGACAACACUGACGCUGAAGCACGAAAGCGUGGGGAGCAAACAGG